rnacentral:lncRNA from 1 species
GUAAGAGCUCCAGGUCCUCCCAGGAGCCCCAGCUGUGGAGCAGGAACUUACCUGGAUAGACACGGUCCAAAAGAUGGUCCUGCACCAAGGAGGCCAAAACCCCCAGUAUGGUUUCAGGAAGCUACACAGAAGUCUCAUGCAAGUGGUGCCUGUUGUUUUCCUGACCGGAGCCUGCUUUCUGAUGCUAAAGCAGAGUGCAGUUCCUGUGUAGAAACUGAGGACAAAAAAAAAUUUACCCGCUCCUCACUGUUGAGGAAGGAUUGUCCUGCUCCUUGCUGCGCUGCUGGCGCUACAAGGGAGGAAGAGGCAGGAGCUGAUGCUGAACAGAGAUGUUCACCCUGGAACGGGAAACGGCUUGGCUUCUUACCCUCACAAACCUGCCUCGCUGCGUGCGAAGAACCCGCUUCCGUCAGGGCGGAAGAUAAGUUUCUGAAGAACAAACUGUGCUCUGUGUUACUGGACCAAAGAAAAAGGAUUAGAGAAUGAACAACCCUAGG